GUUAAAGUGGGGACUUUUCCAGAUUCCGGAAGUGUGUGCCGUGGUUGUUCGGUGUGUGACGUCUGCCGUGUCUGGUGGUGAGCUGACUCAGUCUACCCCUCAGCGGUUGAGGCCCUAGUGAGAUUUUAGGCCUCCGAGCCUAUGACCUUCCAACCUUCUGCAACCCCAGAAUUCCCCAUGGCGGAGGCCCCAGUCAACCAAGGCCAGAGCUGUGUGAGCUUGGAAGAUGUGUGCCUGUAUUUCACUGAGGAGGAGUGGGAACUCCUCAGUGACGCUCAGAAGCUCCUGUACCAUAACGUGAUGCUGGAGACCUUCUCGCUUUUGCUCUCAGUGGGACUUCCUAUUUCCAAGUCCUUCCCAGGAACUCAAGUUCAUUCAUCAUGGCCUUUACUUACUCCAGAAGGGUAAACAAAUGACUAUGAAGCCAUUCAUCAAUAUUUAGAGGAAGAUUGGAGAAGAAUUCAUAAAGGGGAUUAAAUUUUGCUGAGGAAGUAAAAGAUAUGUCUUCAUUUUUAUAAGGCUCCAGUAUUCUUCAUAAACUCCCUAAUAAAACUUGUAUUUACCAUUUAAAAGAGAAA